rnacentral:rRNA from 1 species
AGCAGCAAUAGCUCAAAUUUGAAAUCUGGCGUCUUCGGCGUCCGAGUUGUAAUUUGUAGAGGAUACUUCUGGGCAGCCACCGACCUAAGUUCCUUGGAACAGGACGUCAUAGAGGGUGAGAAUCCCGUAUGCGGUCGGAAAGGCACCCUACACGUAGCUCCUUCGACGAGUCGAGUUGUUUGGGAAUGCAGCUCUAAAUGGGAGGUAAAUUUCUUCUAAAGCUAAAUAUUGGCCAGAGACCGAUAGCGCACAAGUAGAGUGAUCGAAAGAUGAAAAGCACUUUGGAAAGAGAGUUAAAAAGCACGUGAAAUUGUUGAAAGGGAAGGGAUUGCAACCAGACUUGCUCGCGGUGUUCCGCCGGUCUUCUGACCGGUCUACUCGCCGCGUUGCAGGCCAGCAUCGUCUGGUGCCGCUGGAUAAGACUGGAGGAAUGUAGCUCCCUCGGGAGUGUUAUAGCCUCUAGUGAUGCAGCGAGCGCCGGGCGAGGUCCGCGCUUCGGCUAGGAUGCUGGCGUAAUGGUUGUAAUCCGCCCGUCUUGAAACACGGAC